rnacentral:piRNA from 1 species
UAGAAAAUGUUAAAGGUUUUUAAAAGAUUU